rnacentral:rRNA from 1 species
UACGUAGGCAGCGAGCGUUGUUCGGAGUUACUGGGCGUAAAGCGUGCGUAGGCGGUGUUCCAAGUCUGUUGUGAAAUCUCCCGGCUUAACCGGGAGGGUGCGGCGGAAACUGGGAUGCUGGAGUGCGGGAGAGGUAAGCGGAAUUCCCGGUGUAGCGGUGAAAUGCGUAGAUAUCGGGAAGAACACCCGUGGCGAAGGCGGCUCUCUGGGACGGUACUGACGCUGAGACGCGAAAGCGUGGGGAGCGAACAGG